UACAGAGGUCUCAAGCGUUGUUCGGAUUCAUUGGGCGUAAAGGGUGCGUAGGUGGCGCCAUAAGUCAGGGGUGAAAUCUCGGGGCUCAACCCCGAAACUGCACUUGAUACUGUGGUGCUCGAGUACUGGAGAGGAGAUUGGAAUUUACGGUGUAGCAGUGAAAUGCGUAGAUAUCGUAAGGAAGACCAGUGGCGAAGGCGAAUCUCUGGACAGUUACUGACACUGAGGCACGAAGGCCAGGGGAGCAAACGGG
rnacentral:rRNA from 1 species